rnacentral:rRNA from 1 species
CGACGAUCAGUAGCCGACCUGAGAGGGCGACCGGCCACAUUGGGACUGAGACACGGCCCAAACUCCUACGGGAGGCAGCAGUGGGGAAUAUUGCACAAUGGGGGAAACCCUGAUGCAGCGACGCCGCGUGAGUGAGGAAGUAUUUCGGUAUGUAAAGCUCUAUCAGCAGGGAAGAAAAUGACGGUACCUGACUAAGAAGCCCCGGCUAACUACGUGCCAGCAGCCGCGGUAAUACGUAGGGGGCAAGCGUUAUCCGGAUUUACUGGGUGUAAAGGGAGCGUAGACGGAUAAGCAAGUCUGAUGUGAAAAUCCGGGGCUCAACCCCGGAAUUGCAUUGGAAACUGCAUAUCUAGAGUGUCGGAGAGGCAAGUGGAAUUCCUGGUGUAGCGGUGAAAUGCGUAGAUAUCAGGAGGAACACCAGUGGCGAAGGCGGCUUGCUGGACGAUGACUGACGUUGAGGCUCGAAAGCGUGGGGAGCAAACAGGAUUAGAUACCCUGGUAGUC